UACCGUAUCCGGCUGGAUCUUUAUCCACCGGCCACGACCCGAUCCGAAGCGCGCUCCUCCAACAACCCACGGGCGCCGCCUCGUUGGCUCUACGGAGAGAAGGGCUUGCACGCGAGAGAGAGAUCUUGGCCAUCUCUUAUAGUCAUCUUCGAGGAUUUAUUUAAAGUCAAUGAGCAAGAUUAAGGGACUUAAAGCUUUUAUUGGUUUGAUUACUCAUGGACGACAUUCUCAGAAUACGAUCUUGUCAAGCGCAAACAGGACUUCAUCUUUCUCUUAUCAAUGUCUGGUUAGAUCCGUUACAACUUCAGAGCACACAAAUGGGAAGAUAUCAGCAACAGUUGCUUCUGAUGAGAAAAAUGGGACAGGGGAUUCAGAUCAGACUGCUUCUCAAAAGCCUGUUCGAGGAGGGCCUGUCUCAUGGUUGAGCCUUGUUUUGCUUAUUGUCACUGGAGGAGGAUUGAUAGUUUACUAUGACAAAGAGAAGAAACGACACAUUGAAGGACUGAAGACUUCAUCAAGUACUGUGAAACAGGGACCAUCUGUGGGAACUGCUGCUAUUGGUGGUCCAUUCAAGCUUGUGAACCAUUAUGGCAAAACGGUUACUGAAAAGGAUUUUCUGGGGAAGUGGACACUGAUAUACUUUGGAUUCACAUAUUGCCCUGAUAUUUGUCCUGAUGAACUCCAGAAAUUGGCUGCUGCUGUCGAUAAAAUAAAAGCAAAGUCAGGGAUGGAAGUUGUACCAGUUUUCAUUUCAGUUGAUCCUGAGAGAGACAAUGUUGAACAAGUCCAUGAAUAUGUGAAAGAAUUUCACCCAGACUUGAUAGGCUUAACUGGUACAGCAGAUGAGAUAAGACAAGUUGCUCGUGCUUUUCGGGUCUAUUACAUGAAGACAGAGGAGGAGGGUUCUGACUACCUCGUCGACCACUCUAUUGUUAUAAGCAAAGAUGAGGAUGGAAUCCGACCAGCUUGUUUUAACUUGGCUGGUUGUCAUGGGUCAUGAAAAACUCAUCCAGUUCAAUUGGUUCAGUACAAUAUUCUGACAUCGGCAAUCUAAUUAAUAAAAUGAAUUGGUCAUAGGUCCGGUUCCCAGUUUUCCGACUGCACCGGCAGGUACUUGAUGAAUCCGAACAUGGAGUUUGUCAAAUUUUUCGGCAAGAAUUAUGAUGCAAAUGCACUCACAGAAGGCGUGAUUAAAGAGAUCAAAGCCGGCUGACAUUUUUUUUUUGUCCCCCGACAUGUUUACCCAAAGUGGAUAUGUCAAUUUUGCCAUCUUAUAUUUUAACAAAUCAGAUGUAGUAAAUAUGAUGCUAGAUUAACUUAAUUGAGAAUGAAGUGUCGGUCAUUGUUGUGCUCA